CUCCCUCCCUCCCUCCCUCUACCACGUCCCUCUCUCUAUCUCAUGUCUCUAUCGCAUGUCUCUCUCUCUCUCUCUCUCUCUCUCUCUCUCUCUCUCCCUCCCUCUCUACCACGUCCCUCUCUCUAUUUCAUGCCUCUCUCUCUCUCUCUCUCUCUCUCUCUCUCUCUCUCUCUCUCUCUCUCUCUCUCUCUCUCUCUCUCUCUCUCUCUCUCUCUCUCUCUCUCUCCUCCCUCUCUCUACCACGUCCCUCUCUCUAUCUCAUGUCUCUCUCGCUCUCUUUCUUCAGCAAUGUGAUUUUUCUCUCAAAACAAACGAAAAAGACGACAGAAUCUGUGGCUCGUCUUCAGCUGAAGAAUCCGGUCUGAUCCAGUGGGCCGAGACCUCCAGUCCGGUCGGGUCCGGUCGGGUCCGGUCUGGGUCAGACCUCAUGCAGACCUUCACUGUGUACAGGGCAGGAGACAGAGGGACUCCCGUCUGGAAGGACGCGUCUUGGGGGUUUAUUUAUCCACCACGUACACCUGACUUUUUUUUAUGAAAGAUAAAUCUUCUAGCUCAGACUUUACUUACAAAUCAAACAUGAAGAAAAGCAAUGAUCACCGGGCUCCGGCUGUGAUAGAAUGUUAGAAGAUCCUCGCUCAGCUGUCGCCCUCCAUACCCCUGUUCUCCUCCUCCUCCUGUCUCCUCCUGUCUCCUCCUCUCUCCUCCUCCUCCUCUCUCCUCCUCCUCAUCUCUCCUCCUCCUCCUGUCUCCUCCUCUCUCCUCCUCCUCAUCUCUCCUCCUCCUCCUCCUCUCUCCUCCAGCUCAUCUCUGCUCAUCUCGUCUCCUCCUAUGGUCUCCUUUAUUCUCCUGCUCCACUAUUAACACCACCGCUCCUCUCCUCUCUCCUCUCCUCUCUCCUAUUCUCCCUCCUCUCUCCUCUCUCCUCUCUCCUCUCCUCUCCUCUCCUCUCCUCUCCUCUCUCUCCUCUCUCCUCUCCUCUCCUCUCUCUCUCCUCCUUCCUUCCUCCUCUCUCUCCUAUUCUCCCUCCUCUCCUCUCCUCUCCCUCCUCUCCUCUCUCCCCCCUCCUCUCUCUUCUCUCUCGUUCUCCUCUCUCCUCAUGUUAGCCCACAGCUUGGGACAGGAUCAGUUUCUGGGGUUUAGAGUAAUGUAUCAUACGCCCCCCCACCCCCUUCAGGAAAGUUAAGCCUCCAAUCACGUCUCCAUGUUCCCAUAGGCCCCGCCUCCUUCUCUGACAGGAUGAAUCAGAUUGGGCCCGGAGGGUCGCCCGUGACAACACGGGAGAGCUGAUUGGAGGGUUGUGUUUUUUGUGUCGUCUUUUUCUAACUCGAUCACUUUGAUCCUCAGUGAGACUGAGGCUAAUUAGCUAGCGUCGCUAACUUGAAAAAUGAAUGUUGAAAACCUUGACCGGCUCCUGUUCUCUGACCUGUGCUCCUCCUCCUGCUCCUCCUCACUUCCUCCUUCACCUCCUUUUUCCUGAACCGGAAUCACCUCCAGAUGUUCCUGAUAAUCCGCUCUUCCUCGGUCAUCUCUAAGGACUCUAUGAUCACAUAUCAAUAAUCAAUAAGGAGAUUGUAAUAAACAUGUGCAUUUUCAAUCAGUCAAUGACACCAUUUAAAAACCUAGAUCUAGGUGUAGAUCUAGAAAUAUAUCUCUAUGACGGGUGGAGAGCAGGAAGUCCUUCCACGCCCACUGUGUACAUUUCCUUCUACCAAAAACAUGUUGACUGGUAACGUUUAAAGUUUGGUGUUCAAAGCACUGUGAAUCGUUUGUUUUCAAACUUUUAACCUUUUUUGGUAAAGAAAAAAAGAAAAGAAGUAAUAAUGAAGUUGCUCCGCCGAGGCAGCGCCCCCCGGGGGCCGUAACGUGACUGUGUUCGUGUUCCAUGGAAACUGUGUGUUGACUAUAUGCAGAAUAUACUGAGCUACUGUUGCUGUCUGCGUCUCUGUGUGCUCCUCCUCCCCCCGCUCCUCCCCCUGCCCCUCCCCUGCCCCUCCCCCACUCCUCCCCCUGCCCCUCCUCCCGCUCCUCCCUCGCUGCAGUCUUAGUGUAAAGUGGAGGUUUGUGGACUUGGUGUCGGUGGCCUUUUAACGUAGAGUCCACCUCUUUUGCUGCUUCCUUCGUCUUUGUAGACUCUGUUUUUUACUCUUCUCUCGUCUCUCUGUUGCUUUUAGCCGUUGUGUAGUCGAUACGACCUCUUGUCCUCUUUCUCGCGCUCUCUCCUUCUCUCAGAGAUGAAAACAUUCUUAUCUAGCUCAAAGGUUUACCGAGCCAUUUUGCCACUAAGGAAUUCUGGGAACUGUAGUUUUUGGUAAUGACGAAUAAUAAACCGAUAGCUAACACUAUUUACAAUCUAGACGUAAAAGAUGAAAAGCCAAACGUAGCAUUUUAGGUGUAGUCUUUCUUUUUGGGAACGCGAGUCACGAGCUGUGAAACUUCCCAGGGUUCCUUGGGCUGUUUGUGUGCAUUGGGUGUAUUUCAUUGGUUCUUUAAACUAGCAGACUAGUCCAGCAGGACCAAUAAUAUCUAGCAGUGGUUUACACGGGGAAACGAUCACAAAACAGCAUUUCAGGACAAACAAAGAUGAUUUUAAAGAUUUCUAAAGAAAUGAAAAUGAAAAAAAUAUUUCGCACUAUAAAUCUAUUUUUAUAUUUAUAGGUGUUUUGGAAAAUAACUGCAUGUUUACUGAGUUUGUUUCGUGCGUUCGGGGUCACCGGGUCACGGGGCGAUCCUCCCGUUUUUGUCGCGUUUUGCGUGUUUUUACCGUCCGCUCGUACGAAGGUCCUCCCACCCCGACGCUUCCGUCCAUCAGGAAACACGCGAGAACACCGACGCCGAGCCUACCGACGACAGAACCGACAACAGAACCGACCACAGAACCAACGACACGACGACAGAACCGACUCCAGAACCGACUACACACCGAUGACAGAACCGACCACAGAACCGACAACAGAACCAACGACACCGACGACAGAACCGACUACAGAACCGACGACAGAACCGACUCCAGAACCGACUCCAGAACCGACCACAGAACCGACCACAGAACCGACUCCAGAACCGAAUACACACCGAUGACAGAACCGAUCACAGAACCGACAACAGAACCAACGACACCGACGACAGAACCGACUACAGAACCGACGACAGAACCGACUCCAGAACCGACCACAGAACCGACCACAGAACCAACGACACAGACGACAGAACCGACUACAGGAAUUACUACAGGACAGAAUACAGAACCGACUAGAGAACCCACAAAAGAACCCAAUACAGAACCGACGACAGAACCGACUCCGCAACGGACUACAGGACAGAAUACAGAACCGACUACAGAACCGACAACAGAACAGAAUACAGAACAGAAUACAGAACCGACGACAGAACAGACCACCGAACCGACAACAGAACCGACUAAAAACAGUAACUACAGACGUAUCGUGUUUUAAGGGACUAGUGUGAUCCGGGCGGUUAAUCUGUUAAUCCCGGGGCUUCUCGAGCUGAGAUUAUCUACCUGGUGUAGAAAAGGAUGCGUUGGGUAUGACAGGACUGAAAAGGCCGGACCCUAUUGGUUGAAAACCUGGAAGUCGGGGGGGGGGGCAGGACCAGGAAAUACACCCACAUGUAACGGAAAUUAAACAGCCAAUCACGCGCUGUUUCAAUGUUCUUCUGUGUCUGUGUCUAAAAAUUAAAACUGGUGAUUUAAAAGUUGAAACCUUGAUCCCAGCUGCUGUCAAAAUGCAUAAUGCAUAGUGUUUAAGAAUUACAAAUAUGAAAAAUCACUUCAUUUACCUGUGAAGUCUGUGUGUGUGUUUUUAAUUCUUUAUUGUAAGAUGAUACAGAUUGUUUUAUGGAGACGUGACGGAAGGGAGUGUCUUGUUAUCAAUGUUAACAGUGUUCUAAAUACCAACAAAUUAAAAUAUUCAAAAAGAGAAAAACUAUGGCACAUUUCUACUUUUAUUUAAUUUGAUUUCCUCUCCGGGAAAACAUGACUAACUGAAGUUAACUGAGUGCCUGGCGUUUGGUUGUUUUCGUUUUCUUUAUCAUUUAAUACUUUCUCUUUAUAUUAAUCAAAUAAUAAAAACGUUAUUAUUAUUGAUAAUAUUCCUAUUAUUGUUAAUAGUAAUGAUACUAAUUAUUAUUUAAUGCAUCUCUUGGUUUAUUUGAGAACAAUGCUGCAAAUCACAAACUGUACAUACUUCAUUUUACUACAGGGUUUGUUUCUACGUUUCCUGGGUUUUCAUUGGCUCAGGGCAGCGUAGGGGGUUGUCUCUACCGCGGCUCUGACCAAUCAGGUGCCAUAUUCAUAAUAAAACUUCUCUCAAUCUA
ensembl:lncRNA